CUAGAUUGUAUCGGUACCAACGGGUUAUGUUAACAAUAUUUUUUUUAUUUAGGCUCCUGGCUUGUGCCCUCAACCACUUCCUAUGACGCCACUCUUGGGACCCUAUACUACGUCACGGGCUCCUCGUGCGACAACUUCGGCUUUAACUUUACCCUCAGAAGAAACAACACAGUUAGCAGCUGUUUGUGGAUCUCGACAUUCGAUGCCAACUAUACAACAGCGAAAGGCUACUGUCAAGUUUUAGGAGGAUAUCUGUACACUAUGAAAGUUCCAGAAAAAGUUUACAUUUUGAUGGAUGCCCUGAAGUACAACGCCAUCAACGAUUUUUGGGUAGGCCUGGAUGACAUCCUUGAAGAAGGUGUUUACCGAUGGGCAGACGAUGACUCUUUAUUGAUAGACAACGCCGUCAACUCCAGUUGGCCAUGGUUCGCAAUUAAUCAACCAGACAAUUUGGGAAAUGAAGAUUGUAUAGAAUACAGUAAAUCUAUUUAUCCUGUCAACGAUAUCUCCUGUUCUUUGCUGUUUAGAUUUAUUUGUGAGUUAGAACUAUAACUGUCGCUUAAAUAUCACAUAGGCCUACUAGUCGACCGGCGGCGUAGCAUACGCCGCUAUUUUGCAGGGCCGGCCUUAGGUGACCGCAGUGGGCCCCACACUAAUUCUAUGUGUAUAAAUUAUUAAAUUAAACCAUUGUAUAACAGCUACAUAUAAAAUUGAAA